rnacentral:lncRNA from 1 species
AUGAGAGUUUCUAAAAGUGGGAGGGAAAAUAGAACUCCAAAUAUCCAGCACAAGGAUAUUGGACUUUUGCAGGAAAAGGAACUAAGUGCCUUUAUCUUUCAAGGCAAGCUUCUCGAUGUCCACCAAAACCUGGAAACCAAACUGAAAGAAAGACUGAAGGACUUCUCGGAAGUUGGUAAUGGAAAUUUUCUACCAAAACUGAAAGUUUCGAAAGAAAAUAGAAAAUGA